CUAAGUGUUAAAAUUCUAUGUUUUUUAAUGCAGAUGUGGAAUUAGAAGAAGCUAUUAGAAGAAGUCUUGAGGAAAUGUAAUUAAAGAUAUUACCACACAACAUCAAGUGGCCUUGAAGAGACUCAGAUAAUGAAUUCUUGAGUUUGUUUUCUAAAGGAGACCAGAAAUCCACUAUUACAAAUGUAUUUGAAAACAUGUUUUUGCUUUCAUAUGUUCAAAAUCUGAUCUUUGUUUUGUAUUUUUGUGCUAAUGUGCAAACAUGUACAGAAGAAAUAGAAUACAUGUUCAUGCAAAUAUAAAUUAUGUAUUCUAAUAUAGGUGUAACAUAGCAUUAGUUCUUUAAUUUUAUUUGUACUGUACAAAUGAUGCUAGUUUAUUUUUUUAGGAGUGAAAAUGAAUAUAAAAAAGGUGACAUAGGUCAAGUUUUCCAUAAAUUCUACUUCUCAUGAUUUCUAUAAAUAUAAAGCUUUUCUUUAUAUUUAAGACAAAAUAUAAAGGCUAGAAUUUUGUUCCUUCUCUGUAACACUAAAUAUUUUAGUGUGAAAUUGAAUUUUUUUAUUACUAUAGUCUUUUCAAUCUAUAAUUUGUGUUUUUAAUUUCUUGUGUGUGUGGUAGAGAAUAAUUAAGGCUUCUGAUAAGACAGGAAAGGGAUAUUUCAUCAUGACUGUUAAGAAAAGGUAACUGGGUUGUUUAAUGUUUUAAUUGAUAAUUGUCACUGAUUGUAUUUCUACUUG
rnacentral:lncRNA from 1 species